rfam:Rhabditophanes sp. KR3021 genome assembly, scaffold: RSKR_scaffold0000058
GCCUCCCUAGCUCAAUUGGUAGAGCGUUAGACUUUUAAUCUAACGGUCGCGGGGGGCU